rnacentral:rRNA from 1 species
CGACCGGCGCACGGGUGCGUAACGCGUAUGCAACCUACCUUUAACAGGGGGAUAACAUUGAGAAAUUGGUACUAAUACCCCAUAAUAUCAUAGAAGGCAUCUUUUAUGGUUGAAAAUUCCGAUGGUUAGAGAUGGGCAUGCGUUGUAUUAGCUAGUUGGUGGGGUAACGGCUCACCAAGGCGACGAUACAUAGGGGGACUGAGAGGUUAACCCCCCACACUGGUACUGAGACACGGACCAG